rnacentral:rRNA from 1 species
GAUGAACGCUGGCGGCGUGCCUAAUACAUGCAAGUCGAGCGAAUGGAUUAAGAGCUUGCUCUUAUGAAGUUAGCGGCGGACGGGUGAGUAACACGUGGGUAACCUGCCCAUAAGACUGGGAUAACUCCGGGAAACCGGGGCUAAUACCGGAUAACAUUUUGAACCGCAUGGUUCGAAAUUGAAAGGCGGCUUCGGCUGUCACUUAUGGAUGGACCCGCGUCGCAUUAGCUAGUUGGUGAGGUAACGGCUCACCAAGGCAACGAUGCGUAGCCGACCUGAGAGGGUGGUCGGCCACACUGGGACUGAGACACGGCCCAAACUCCGACGGGAGUCAGCAGUAGGGAAUCUUCCGCAAUGGACGAAAGUCUGACGGAGCAACGCCGCGUGAGUGAUGAAGGCUUUCGGGUCGUAAAACUCUGUUGUUAGGGAAGAACAAGUGCUAGUUGAAUAAGCUGGCACCUUGACGGUACCUAACCAGAAAGCCACGGCUAACUACGUGCCAGCCGCCGCGGUAA